AAGCCGUCUUCCUAGGCGGGCUCCUCCCAGAGUCAGCUGCUCUGUGCUUCCAAAAGGCAAACUCAUUUUAUCAGAAAACAGCCAUGUCUGAUUCUCAAGGGCAUGUUCUGCUCAACACUUAGAGGGCUUCCCCCUUCAACUGAGUUCUCAGGCACCUCCUGGAGCUCAUCUGCACUGCCUCCAUCUUGAUCACCUGAAAUGUGUUAUGACACCUCUUCUCGUUUAGUUCUGUCUUCUCGAGGCUCCACUAACUCAAAUGUGUGCUGCAGAAUCUGCUGAAGGUUGGAGGUGACAAUGUACAUGUGUGUAUGAAGAAGACGGGGAUAAAUAUGAGAACAUAAGGCAGAGGAUCUGGAUUUAUUUCCCUAGAGGGCUUGUUGGGCAUCACCUGCCCUGUCCAACUUCGUCCACUCUAAGCCAGCUGGCCAGCACUGGGGGAUCAUCUGCCACAAUGGAACAGGCUCUGUCUGUCACUCUCUUCAACAGCAGAUGGCCACCCUGCACUCAUCCCCAUCAUACGCCAUCGCUAAGGGAGACACCAUGGUCCACCUACAAUUCACAAGCACUUUCCUCCAACUCAAGAGGAUGGAAAUCAUGGCUGUGUGCUGAAAUCACUCUGGGUCAGUAAUUUUUCAGCUAAAGGUGUCCUAUUGGGCAUUCUUACAAUAGAGAGAGGUGGAGCAAGAGGCCACUGGGAUUAUGUUAGAUUUUUAACAUGUGGGAUUAUGGUUAGAUUUUUAAUUGGAUUGGGCAUUUCAAUUAAGUUGGACAGAGCUUUUCAAGCAGGUCAAAGCACUGUCCCCUCAAGCAAGCACCUCUCUGUCUUGCCCAGCUUCCCUGAUUCGCAAGACAGUUCCUCACGAAAUGUUUUUCUUAUACUUUGUUUAUUUGAAGCUGGUAUGAUAGUCUGGGCAUGAGGCCCAGUUUAAUAUAAUUUUUACUGUUGCUACUGCACCCCCAAUUCUAUCAGGAUGGUUAUUAUUGUGUUGUCUAAGACACCUUACCACGGCAAUUACCACAGCCAGGUGUGCUCCCAUACUCACCCCACCCAUCCACCCACCCCACCCUUUCUACUUCAAACUUCAGAAAUGA
ensembl:lncRNA